rnacentral:rRNA from 1 species
AUUGAACGCUGGCGGCAGGCCUAACACAUGCAAGUCGAACGAGUCGCGGACGGGUGUGUCAUGUCUGGGACAUUGCUUGAUGGAGGGGGAUACUUCCUGGAAACGGUAGUUAAUACCGCAUACCAUUGGAUGUGCCCAGAUGGGAGUAGCUAGUAGGUGGGGUAAAGGCUCACCUAGGCCACGAUCCCUAGCUGGUCUGAGAGGUUGACCAGCCACACUGGAACUGAGACACGGUCCAGACGCCUACGGGAGGCAGCAGGGGGGAAUAUUGCACAAUGGGCGCAAGCCUGAUGCAGCCAUGCCGCGUGUAUGAAGAAGGCCUUCGGGUUGUAAAGUACUUUCAGCGGGGAGGCGUUACCCACAGAAGAAGCACCGGCUAACUCCGUGCCAGCAGCCGCGGUAAUUC